UUUCGACACACUAUCAUUAACUGAAUCCAUAGGUUAAUGAGGCGAACCGGGGGAACUGAAACAUCUAAGUACCCCGAGGAAAAGAAAUCAACCGAGAUUCCCCCAGUAGCGGCGAGCGAACGGGGAGGAGCCCAGAGCCUGAAUCAGUGUGUGUGUUAGUGGAAGCGUCUGGAAAGGCGCGCGAUACAGGGUGACAGCCCCGUACACAAAAAUGCACAUACUGUGAGCUCGAUGAGUAGGGCGGGACACGUGGUA
rnacentral:rRNA from 1 species